UAUUCCUCAGUUCUGAGGGUCGUGACCUU
rnacentral:sRNA from 1 species